UACGUAGGGGGCAAGCGUUGUUCGGAAUUACUGGGCGUAAAGGGCGCGUAGGCGGCACGGCAAGUCGGGAGUGAAAGGCCUGGGCUCAACCGAGGAACUGCUUUCGAGACUGCCGAGCUAGAGUGCGGAAGGGGCAACUGGAAUUCCCAGUGUAGCGGUGAAAUGCGUAGAUAUUGGGAAGAACACCUGAGGCGAAGGCGGGUUGCUGGGCCGACACUGACGCUGAGGCGCGAAAGCCAGGGGAGCAAAGCGGG
rnacentral:rRNA from 1 species